UACGGAGGGUGCGAGCGUUGUCCGGAAUCAUUGGGCGUAAAGGGCGCGUAGGUGGCCCGGUCAGUUCGUGGUGAAAGCGCGGGGCUCAACCCUGCGUCGGCCAUGAAUACUGCCGCGGCUGGAGCACUGUAGAGGCAGGCGGAAUUCCGGGUGUAGCGGUGGAAUGCGUAGAGAUCCGGAAGAACACCGGUGGCGAAGGCGGCCUGCUGGGCAGUUGCUGACACUGAGGCGCGACAGCGUGGGGAGCAAACAGA
rnacentral:rRNA from 1 species